GUUGAACGCUGGCGGAAUGCUUUACACAUGCAAGUCGAACGGUAGAGGGGGCAACCCCUCGAGAGUGGCGAACGGGUGAGUAAUAUAUCGGAACGUGCCCAGUCGUGGGGGAUAACGUAGCGAAAGUUACGCUAAUACCACAUACGAUCUAAGGAUGAAAGCGGGGGAUCGCAAGACCUCGCGCGAUUGGAGCGGCCGAUAUCAGAUUAGGUAGUUGGUGGGGUAAAGGCUCACCAAGCCAACGAUCUGUAGCUGGUCUGAGAGGACGACCAGCCACACUGGAGCUGAGACACGGUCCAGACUCCUACGGGAGGCAGCAGUGGGGAAUUUUGGACAAUGGACGCAAGUCUGAUCCAGCCAUUCCGCGUGCAGGAUGAAGGCCCUCGGGUUGUAAACUGCUUUUGUACGGAACGAAAAGGUCUCUCUUAAUACGGGGGACUCAUGACGGUACCGUAAGAAUAAGCACCGGCUAACUACGUGCCAGCCGCCGCAGUAAUAC
rnacentral:rRNA from 1 species